GACGAACGCUGGCGGCGUGCUUAACACAUGCAAGUCGAACGGGAUCCAUCGCGAGCUUGCUCAAGAGAAGAUCUAGUGGCGAACGGGUGCGUAACACGUGAGAAACCUGCCCCAGACUUGGGAAUAACAGUCGGAAACGACUGCUAAUACCGAAUACCUUCGUAGCGUCGCAUGGCGCAUCGAAGAAAGCUUUAUGCGGUUUGGGAGGGUCUCGCGGCCUAUCAGCUAGUUGGUGAGGUAACGGCUCACCAAGGCAUCGACGGGUAGCUGGUCUGAGAGGAUGAUCAGCCACACUGGGACUGAGACACGGCCCAGACUCCUACGGGUGGCAG
rnacentral:rRNA from 1 species